UAUGAACGGGGGGAACACAAUCUGAGGCAGCUUGGCCAGUUGCAGUUCAAUCUGCAGCAGCUUGGCCGGUUGUUCUCAGGCUGCUGCUGUGGGAGAUGAGUCCUGGGAUCCCAUGGGCCCCGGGCACUUGACAGUGUGCUCCACAAAUGAGACAAGUGACAGAGGCUUGGAGAGGCUCAGCAUUCGCCCGAGGUCUCCCAGACCAGUCAGCAGCCGGGCUGGAAGGCAAGGACGCACAGCUCCUGGGCACAGAGCUGCCCAAGAUGGACAGCAAGGAGAGUGAACAAACUCCUUAACCAAGUCACCUCCACAGGUGCCACAUUAAAGACCAGCCACAAAUUGUGCCAUGACUUUAUCUGCAUUUCGUAAUAAUAAAAUAACAUGUGCACUGUA